GACGAACGCUGGCGGCGUGCUUAACACAUGCAAGUCGAACGGUGAAGCACCUUCCUUUUGGUGGGUGUGGAUGAGUGGCGAACGGGUGAGUAACACGUGAGUAACCUGCCCCCUUCUUCUGGAUAACCGCAUGAAAGUGUGGCUAAUACGGGAUAUUCUGGGUCUGUCGCAUGGCGGGCCUGGGAAAGAUAUUGUUUCGGUGGGGGAUGGGCUCGCGGUCUAUCAGCUUGUUGGUGGGGUGAUGGCCUACCAAGGCGGUGACGGGUAGCCGGCCUGAGAGGGUGGACGGUCACACUGGGACUGAGACACGGCCCAGACUCCUACGGGAGGCAGCAGUGGGGAAUAGUGCACAAUGGGCGCAAGCCUGAUGCAGCGACGCCGCGUGAGGGAUGGAGGCCUGCGGGUUGUAAACCUCUUUCGCCAGUGAAGCAGGCCUGUCCCUUGUGUGGGUGGGUUGACGGUAGCUGGAUAAGAAGCGCCGGCUAACUACGUG
rnacentral:rRNA from 1 species